rnacentral:rRNA from 1 species
AUUGAACGCUGGCGGCAUGCUUUACACAUGCAAGUCGAACGGUAACAGUCCUUCGGGUUCUGACGAGUGGCGAGCGGGUGAGUAAUGCAUCGGAACGUGCCCAGAGGUGGGGGAUAACGCAGCGAAAGCUGUGCUCAUACCGCAUGUGAUCUGAGGCUGAAAGCGGUGGACCAAGCAGCAAUGUUUUUCCUCGCUCCUCUGGAGCGGCCGAUGUCGGAUUAGGUAGUUGGUGGGGUAAAGGCCUACCAAGCCGACGAUCUGUAGCUGGUCUGAGAGAACGACCAGCCACACGGGGACUGAGACACGGCCCAGACUCCUAAGGGAGGCAGCAGUGGGGAAUGUUGGACAAUGGGCGGGAGCCUGAUCCAGCAAGGCCGCGUGCGGGAAGAAGGCGUUCGGGUUGUAAACAGCUUUUGUACGGAACGAAAAGGCUCUGGCUAAUACCUGGGGCUGAUGACGGUACCGGAAGAAUAAGCACCGGCUAACUACGUG